UACAGAGGGUGCGAGCGUUGUCCGGAAUCACUGGGCGUAAAGAGCUCGUAGGUGGUUUGUUACGUCUGCUGUGAAAACCUAGGGCUUAACCCUGGGCUUGCAGUGGAUACGGGCAGACUAGAGUGCGGUAGGGGAGACUGGAAUUCCUGGUGUAGCGGUGAAAUGCGCAGAUAUCAGGAGGAACACCGGUGGCGAAGGCGGGUCUCUGGGCCGUUACUGACGCUGAGGAGCGAAAGCGUGGGGAGCGAACAGG
rnacentral:rRNA from 1 species